rnacentral:rRNA from 1 species
UCCAGACUCCUACGGGAGGCAGCAGUGGGGAAUAUUGCACAAUGGGGGAAACCCUGAUGCAGUAACGCCGCGUGAGUGAAGAAGUCAUUCGUGAUGUAAAGCUCUAUCAGCAGGGAAGAAAGAAAUGACGGUACCUGACUAAGAAGCCCCGGCUAACUACGUGCCAGCAGCCGCGGUAAUACGUAGGGGGCAAGCGUUAUCCGGAUUUACUGGGUGUAAAGGGAGCGUAGACGGCGACGCAAGUCUGAAGUGAAAGGCGGGGGCCCAACCCCCGGACUGCUUUGGAAACUGUAUGGCUGGAGUGCAGGAGAGGUAAGUGGAAUUCCUAGUGUAGCGGUGAAAUGCGUAGAUAUUAGGAGGAACACCAGUGGCGAAGGCGGCUUACUGGACUGUAACUGACGUUGAGGCUCGAAAGCGUGGGGAGCAAACAGGAUUAGAUACCCUGGUAC